GGAUGAGAAGGACACCCGCCCACGGGAAACUGUGGGCGACAGGCCGUGGCCUCCCGGCUUCGACCUGGUCGUACCUCGCGCGCACACCCGGAGCCGGCAGGCUCCGAACCUCCUCACCGAUCGGA
rnacentral:ncRNA from 1 species